rnacentral:rRNA from 1 species
AGCAUAUCAAUAAGCGGAGGAAAAGAAACCAACAGGGAUUGCCCCAGUAACGGCGAGUGAAGCGGCAACAGCUCAAAUUUGAAAUCUGGCCCCUAGGGCCCGAGUUGUAAUUUGCAGAGGAUGCUUUUGGCGAGGUGCCUUCCGAGUUCCCUGGAACGGGACGCCAUAGAGGGUGAGAGCCCCGUCUGGUUGGACGCCGAGCCUCUGUAAAGCUCCUUCGACGAGUCGAGUAGUUUGGGAAUGCUGCUCUAAAUGGGAGGUAUAUGUCUUCUAAAGCUAAAUAUUGGCCAGAGACCGAUAGCGCACAAGUAGAGUGAUCGAAAGAUGAAAAGCACUUUGAAAAGAGAGUUAAAUAGUACGUGAAAUUGUUGAAAGGGAAGCGCUUAUGACCAGACUUGGGCCCGGUGAAUCAUCCAGCGUUCUCGCUGGUGCACUUUGCCGGUGCCCAGGCCAGCAUCAGUUUGCCCCGGGGGAUAAAGGCUUUGGGAAUGUGGCUCCCUAGGGAGUGUUAUAGCCCAUUGCAUAAUACCCUGUGGCGGACUGAGGUUCGCGCAUCUUGCAAGGAUGCUGGCGUAAUGGUCAUCAGCGACCCGUCUUGAAACACGGACCAAGGAGUCGUCUUCGUAUGCGAGUGUUCGGGUGUCAAACCCCUACGCGUAAUGAAAGUGAACGCAGGUGAGAGCUUCGGCGCAUCAUCGACCGAUCCUGAUGUUCUCGGAUGGAUUUGAGUAAGAGCAUACGGGGCCGGACCCGAAAGAAGGUGAACUAUGCCUGUAUAGGGUGAAGCCAGAGGAAACUCUGGUGGAGGCUCGCAGCGGUUCUGACGUGCAAAUCGAUCGUCAAAUAUGGGCAUGGGGGCGAAAGACUAAUCGA